CUAGUACUCCCUCCGUUCCAAAUUACUCGUCGCAGAAAUGGAUGUAUCUAGAACUAAAAUACAUCUAGAUACAUCCAUACUUGUGACAAGUAAUUCGGAACGAAGGGAGUAGAAG
rnacentral:pre_miRNA from 1 species